GACGAACGCUGGCGGCGUGCCUAAUACAUGCAAGUUGAGCGCUGAAGGUUGGUACUUGUACCAACUGGAUGAGCAGCGAACGGGUGAGUAACGCGUGGGGAAUCUGCCUUUGAGCGGGGGACAACAUUUGGAAACGAAUGCUAAUACCGCAUAAAAACUUUAAACACAAGUUUUAAGUUUGAAAGAUGCAAUUGCAUCACUCAAAGAUGAUCCCGCGUUGUAUUAGCUAGUUGGUGAGGUAAAGGCUCACCAAGGCGAUGAUACAUAGCCGACCUGAGAGGGUGAGCGGCCACAUUGGGACUGAGACACGGCCCAAACUCCUACGGGAGGCAGCAGUAGGGAAUCUUCGGCAAUGGACGAAAGUCUGACCGAGCAACGCCGCGUGUGUGAAGAAGGUUUUCGGAUCGUAAAACUCUGUUGGUAGAGAAGAACGUUGGUGAGAGUGGAAAGCUCAUCAAGUGACGGUAACUACCCAGAAAGGGACGGCUAACUACGUG
rnacentral:rRNA from 1 species